rnacentral:lncRNA from 1 species
UCCCAAGCACCGGCCCUCCCCUUUAACUCCUGCCUGUCGCCAGGCCAUGUUCCAGAGCACACGUAUGACACGUACGAUGCGUCGGAAGACCGAAACCGCAGUGACGUGUUCGCAGAGCUUCGCGCCUGGAGAAAAGAGCAUAACAAGUACUGCCUAACUGACUGACCUUUACACAGAGACUGACAUGCACUUGUCACCUGUUUCUGAAAUGUGUGUGUGUGUGUGUGUGUGUGUGUGUGUGUGUGUGUGUGUGUGUGUGUGUGUGUGUGUGUGUGUGUGUGUGUGACAGGCGGCUACUUUCCAUUGAAAAGGAUCGCCAGCCAGAGAUGAUGACCAUACUUCACAAUGAGGAAGACUAUGAUUACAUUAAGGACAUGGACGAAGAGGUGACAGGCCAAAGUCUAGCCAGUGAUCAAGAGGAAGAAGAAGACGAGGAGGAAAUACAAGAAAGUGGAGAUAAAACCAGCUGUAAACACUGGAGCAGCAUAGACUCACCUGAUUCCUCUUCCUUGUCUCUCUCUUCAGAUCUGUCAGAACAAGACGCCAUGUCUCCUGAUAAUGGAUCCAGGCUGUCCCUCCCAACAGAGUUUAUCUUAACUCCGUCACCCCCUUUGCCGCCCGCGCUGCCCUCUGCUGGCCGGAGGCUUCCAGACGCCCGUGUCCGCAGGCUCAAACACAUACAGCCCCAGCCACCAGUGGCCCCCAGGCCGGCCCCGCUGGGUGCAGAGGCAGGCCCAGAUGCUGGGGAGGAGGAGGUGGGGAGGAGAAAGUGUCUGACAGACAGGUGCACCGAUGGGUCCUGCAGACCAGCAUCCAGUCCUGUGUUCCCAGGCCACAGAGAGCCAUGCGUAGGGGCUGUGGGAGGAUAUGCUUUGUCCACCAGUGAACAUCAUCAGCCAAUGAUAUGCUCCAAGAUAACAGACAGACCCACCCUGGGACGGCCCUGGACCGCUAGAGCUGCUCUCCAGAGACUCUCGAACCACUACCCACUCCUCCCCAGGAGAGCCAGCACCCAGCCCAAAUGAGCCCGCCAACAACUCGACCGCUGUGUGUCUCCCGAGAGCGUCAUUCUGCGGUGACCAUGAUUACUAAAAAGGCAUUCAGGGUGACAGGCGAAGCAUUUGUCGCUCAGCAGUUGCUGCGCAGUAAAACAUUUGGAAAACACACCCCUGUGGUCUGUUUAGCAGGACACUUUGCAGCUUUGGUGCGGAGCUAUCCUCAUGUUUGUGUCACAUAUUCUUUUUUUCGUGUUUUGUUUUUAUAAUCUGUUCAAAUGUUUGUUUUUUUUCCUCGCUGAAUUUUAAUUGCACAGUAAAUUAUUUUCCUGUAUUUGUCUGAAGGGACGGUAUGAAAUAUAGUUUUUUGAAGUGAAAGACAAUGUGGUCUGUAUUUGUCUGUUCUUGUUUCCAAGUAUGGCUUGUGCUAGCAUGGUGAUAUUUGCAAACAUGUAGUUUUAUGAGAUUAAAUUUGUUUUCGUUGUGGUCUGUCGCGUUAUGUACAGCGUUGCAAAGAGAAGAUUGCACAA